rnacentral:rRNA from 1 species
AAUAGAUACCCCGGUAGUCCUGGCCCUAAACGAUGAAUACUUGGUGUCUGGAGUUUCAAGACUCCGGGUGCCGUCGCUAACGUUUUAAGUAUUCCGCCUGGGGAGUACGUGCGCAAGCAUGAAACUCAAAAGGAAUUGACGGGGACCCGCACAAGCGGUGGAGCAUGUGGUUUAAUUCGACACAACGCGAAGAACCUUACCUGGACUAGAAUGUGAGGGAAUGUCGGGUAAUGCCGGCAGUCCGGGAAACCGGACCCAAAACAAGGUGCUGCAUGGCUGUCGUCAGCUCGUGUCGUGAGAUGUUGGGUUAAGUCCCGCAACGAGCGCAACCCUUAUCAACAGUUGCCAUCAUUAAGUUGGGAACUCUGUUGAGACUGCCGUUGAUAAAACGGAGGAAGGUGGGGAUGAUGUCAAGUCAUCAUGGCCUUUAUGUUCAGGGCUACACACGUGCUACAAUGGAAGGUACAAAACGUCGCAAUCCCGCAAGGGGGAGCUAAUCGCGAAAAACCUUCCUCAGUUCGGAUUGGAGUCUGCAACUCGACUCC